rnacentral:rRNA from 1 species
AUUGAACGCUGGCGGCAGGCCUAACACAUGCAAGUCGAGCGGAUGAAGGGAGCUUGCUCCUGGUUUCAGCGGCGGACGGGUGAGUAAUGCCUAGGAAUCUGCCUGGUAGUGGGGGAUAACGUCCGGAAACGGGCGCUAAUACCGCAUACGUCCUGAGGGAGCAAGUGGGGGAUCUUCGGACCUCACGCUAUCAGAUGAGUCUAGGUCGGAUUAGCUAGUUGGUGGGGUAAAGGCCUACCAGGGCGACGAUCCGUAACUGGUCUGUGAGGAUGAUCAGUCACCUGGGAAGUGAGACACGGUCAUGAGGCCUACGGGAGGGAGCAGUGGGGAAUAGUGGACAAUGGGCGAAAGUCUGAUACAGCCAUGCGGAGUGUGUGAAGAAGGUCUUCGGAUUGGAAAGCAGGUUAAGGGGGGAGGAAGGGCAGUAAGUUAAUACGUUGCUGGUGUGACGGUAACGGCAGAAGAAGCACCGGCUAACUUCGUG